rnacentral:rRNA from 1 species
AGCUCCAAUAGCGUAUAUUAAAGUUGUUGCAGUUAAAAAGCUCGUAGUUGGAUUUCUGGCAGUGUGACUCCGGCCGGCAUGACGUCGGGUCCAGAGCGCGCUACCAUCCUUCUGUCAACCUUCGCGGGAUUCAUUUCCCGCCCUGGGGCUCAGAUAUUUUACCUUGAGAAAAUUAGAGUGUUUCAGGCAGGCUUUCGCCGGAAUACAUUAGCAUGGAAUGAUGGAAAAGGACUUCAACCUCUUCUGUUGGUCUGAGAGGCUGUAGUAAUGAUUAAUAGGGAUAGUUGGGGGCAUUAGUACUUGACUGUCAGAGGUGAAAUUCUCCGAUUUGUUAAAGACUAACUUAUGCGAAAGCAUUUGCCAAGGAUGUUUUCAUUAAUCAAGAACGAAAGUA